UUUAAGGUUGCCUCUGCUCAAUGUGUAUAAUAAAUAGCCGCAGUAUCUUGACUGUGCUAAGGUAGCUUAAUAAUUUGUCCUUUAAUUGGGGAUUUGUAUGAAAGAGGGGACGACGCUCAAGCUAUCCUGGUAUCUUAGUAGAAAUUGAUAUCUGCUUCAAAAAGAGUAGAUUUUUAGGGGGACGAUAAGACCCUGUGAAACUUUAUUUAGGUGUUUUAAGUAGAUUUAGGGUUGGAUUUAAGGUUAUCUAAAUUAAGCUGGGGCGGCAAUUAACUGAACCUUAAUAUAAAUAACAUUUUACAUGAAUGUUUAGUUCUUCGCGAGAAAAUGUAGAGCAAGUUACUCUAGGGAUAACAGCACAAUUUUUCCCGACAGGCCUUAUGGAAGGAAAAGAAUUGUGACCUCGAUGUUGAAUUGAAAUGCCAUCUUUGAGCAGAAACAAAGAUAGGGAGUCUGUUCGACUUUUAAUUUUUC
rnacentral:rRNA from 1 species